GUCCCAGUAGCUCAGGGGAUAGAGCAACGGUUUCCUAAACCGUAGGUCGGAGGUUCGAAUCCUCUCUGGGACG
rnacentral:tRNA from 3 species